rnacentral:misc_RNA from 1 species
GAUGAAGAACGUAGCGAAAUGGGAUAAGUAAUGUGAAUUGCAGAAUUCAGUGAAUCAUCGAAUCUUUGAACGCACCUUGCGCCCUUUGGCCAUUCCGAAGGGCAUGCCUGUUUGAGUAUCAUGAACACCUCAACUCUUCAUGGUUUUCCAUGAUGAGCUUGGACUUUGGGGGUCUUGCUGGCCUGUGGGUCGGCUCCUCUCAAAUGAAUCAGCUUGCCGGUUUUUGGUGGGCAUCACAGGUGUGAUAACUAUCUACGCUUGUGGUUUUCCACCAGGGUAACCUUCAGCAGUGGAGGUUCACUGGAGCUUACAAAUGUCUCUCCUCUGUGAGGACAGCCCUUUGAAUGUUUGAUCUCAAAUCAGGAAGGACUACCCGCUGAACUUAAGCAUAUCAAUAAGCGGAGGA